GACGUAGGGCGCGAGCGUUGUCCGGAUUUAUUGGGCGUAAAGAGCUCGUAGGCGGCUUGUCGCGUCGACUGUGAAAACCCACGGCUUAACUGUGGGCUUGCAGUCGAUACGGGCAGGCUAGAGUUCGGUAGGGGAGACUGGAAUUCCUGGUGUAGCGGUGAAAUGCGCAGAUAUCAGGAGGAGCACCGGUGGCGAAGGCGGGUCUCUGGGCCGGUAUUGACGCUGAGGCGCGAAAGCUAGGGGAGCAAACGGG
rnacentral:rRNA from 1 species